rnacentral:tRNA from 1 species
CAAAGUGUAGCUUAAACUAAAGCAUCCGGCCUACACCCGGAAGAUCUCGCAACAACUGAUCACUUUGA